AUUGAACGCUGGCGGCAUGCCUUACACAUGCAAGUCGAACGGUAACAGGUCUUCGGAUGCUGACGAGUGGCGAACGGGUGAGUAAUACAUCGGAACGUGCCUAGUAGUGGGGGAUAACUACUCGAAAGAGUGGCUAAUACCGCAUGAGAUCUACGGAUGAAAGCAGGGGAUCGCAAGACCUUGUGCUACUAGAGCGGCCGAUGGCAGAUUAGGUAGUUGGUGGGAUAAAAGCUGACCAAGCCGACGAUCUGUAGCUGGUCUGAGAGGACGAUCAGCCACACUGGGACUGGGAAACGGCCCAGACUCCGACGGGCGGCAGCAGUGGGGAAUUUUGGCCAGUGGGCGCAAGCCUGAUCCAGCGAUGCCGCGUGCAGGAUGAAGGCCUUCGGGUUGUAAACUGCUUUUGUACGGAACGAAAAGCCCCGGGUUAAUACCCUGGGGUCAUGACGGUACCGAAAGAAUAAGCACCGGCUAACUACGUGCCAGCAGCCGCCGUAA
rnacentral:rRNA from 1 species